UAUCAGAUUAGGUUGUUGGUGAGGUAAAAGCUCACCAAGCCGACGAUCUGUAGCUGGUUUGAGAGAACGACCAGCCACACUGGGACUGAGACACGGCCCAGACUCCUACGGGAGGCAGCAGUGGGGAAUUUUGGACAAUGGGCGAAAGCCUGAUCCAGCAAUGCCGCGUGCAGGAAGAAGGCCUUCGGGUUGUAAACUGCUUUUGUACGGAACGAAAAGGCUCUUUCUAAUAAAGAGGGCCCAUGACGGUACCGUAAGAAUAAGCACCGGCUAACUUCGUGCCAGCAGCCGCGGUAAUAAGGGC
rnacentral:rRNA from 1 species